UUUCACUUAAAAUAUAUUUUUGUCUUAAAGUUGUUGGCUCGUGUUAAUUUCUACUAUAAGUUGUAUUAGAUUAGUAAAUAAGAUGAAUAUUGAAAUUUAAUUAUAAAAAAUCUCAACAUUUUAAUAUUUUCUUGCACCGCGCGAGUAUGUAUACUUAUCAGAAAUUAAAGUUAAAAGAGUACUCGAAAAUAAAAACAAAGGAAGUACUUUAUGCAUUAGAUUUUUUUCAUACUAGCCAGUGAUUCUGGCUAGUUGGAGUCUCAUAUAACAUAGAGAUAAUAAGUAAACACACUAAGGUUUUUUUUUUUUGGGUUAUUGUAGACAUACAUAACAUUUCAAAUGGAGGCAUUUUUGGAUUUCCUUCAUAAUUCCUGGCUCCUUCACUGUUUUUGUACUCCCAUAGGAAGAGUGGCUGUACGUUUGAAUGGUACGUCGACAUCUAAUAAGUACUUGAAUGAUGAAAGGCAUCCAGGUAAUGGUCCAUGAAUCUUGUUUUGAGAAACAUACAAUACACUUAGCUCAGUAAGACCACACAUCGUCGUUGGCAACGUCUCAACAGAUAAAUUGUUGCAAUUGUAUUUCACCAACAAGUUGAUUUUUUUCUAAGUGGAUUGUGGAAAUGGAAUGUAGUUUUGUGAUUGAAAGUGGAAUUUUUCCGGUGAACGAAUUGUUUGACAAGAAAAGCUUUUGAAGUGCUUGUAAGUUGCAAAUAUUCUCCGAAAUUUCUCCU
rnacentral:lncRNA from 1 species